rnacentral:rRNA from 1 species
GCAGUCGAACGAUGAAGGAGGAGCUUGCUCUUCUGGAUUAGUGGCGAACGGGUGAGUAACACGUGAGCAAUCUGCCCUUGACUCUGGGAUAAGCGUUGGAAACGACGUCUAAUACCGGAUACGACCCUCGGAGGCAUCUCCUGGGGGUGGAAAGAAUUUUGGUCAAGGAUGAGCUCGCGGCCUAUCAGCUUGUUGGUGAGGUAAUGGCUCACCAAGGCGACGACGGGUAGCCGGCCUGAGAGGGUGACCGGCCACACUGGGACUGAGACACGGCCCAGACUCCUACGGGAGGCAGCAGUGGGGAAUAUUGCACAAUGGGCGAAAGCCUGAUGCAGCAACGCCGCGUGAGGGACGACGGCCUUCGGGUUGUAAACCUCUUUUAGUAGGGAAGAAGCGAAAGUGACGGUACCUGCAGAAAAAGCACCGGCUAACUACGUGCCAGCAGCCGCGGUAAUACGUAGGGUGCAAGCGUUGUCCGGAAUUAUUGGGCGUAAAGAGCUCGUAGGCGGUUUGUCGCGUCUGCUGUGAAAACCCGAGGCUCAACCUCGGGCCUGCAGUGGGUACGGGCAGACUAGAGUGCGGUAGGGGAGAUUGGAAUUCCUGGUGUAGCGGUGGAAUGCGCAGAUAUCAGGAGGAACACCGAUGGCGAAGGCAGAUCUCUGGGCCGUAACUGACGCUGAGGAGCGAAAGCAUGGGGAGCGAACAGGAUUAGAUACCCUGGUAGUCCAUGCCGUAAACGUUGGGAACUAGAUGUGGGGACCAUUCCACGGUCUCCGUGUCGCAGCUAACGCAUUAAGUUCCCCGCCUGGGGAGUACGGCCGCAAGG